CGUGGGAACGUACCUUUCGCUACGGAAUAGCUCUUGGAAACGAGUGGUAAUACCGUAUACGCCCUCCGGGGGAAAGAUUUAUCGGCGAAAGAUCGGCCCGCGUUAGAUUAGGUAGUUGGUGGGGUAAUGGCCUACCAAGCCUACGAUCUAUAGCUGGUCUGAGAGGAUGAUCAGCCACACUGGGACUGAGACACGGCCCAGACUCCUACGGGAGGCAGCAGUGGGGAAUCUUGCACAAUGGGCGAAAGCCUGAUGCAGCCAUGCCGCGUGAAUGAUGAAGGCCUUAGGGUUGUAAAAUUCUUUCGCCAGGGAUGAUAAUGACAGUACCUGGUAAAGAAGCCCCGGCUAACUUCGUGCCAGCAGCCGCGGUAAUACGAAGGGGGCUAGCGUUGUUCGGAAUUACUGGGCGUAAAGCGCACGUAGGCGGACUUUUAAGUCAGAUGUGAAAUCCCGGGGCUCAACCUCGGAACUGCAUUUGAAACUGGAAGUCUGGAGUUCAGGAGAGGUUAGCGGAAUACCGAGUGUAGAGGUGAAAUUCGUAGAUAUUCGGUGGAACACCAGUGGCGAAGGCGGCUAACUGGACUGAUACUGACGCUGAGGUGCGAAAGUGUGGGGAGCAAACAGGAUUAGAUACCCUGGUAGUCCACACCGUAAACGAUGACAGCUAGUU
rnacentral:rRNA from 1 species